GGCAAUAGCGACAGUUUCUCCAUCAAUGGCGAACCAUCCUCAGUCCAUUGGAGAAACAUCUCAGACACGGACCCCUUUGCGGUAUGACCAUAACAUGGAUCAUUUUAAGUAUGUCUUCAAGAAAACUCCUAAGAGUGACAAGGAGAGGAGAGCGAAGACAUUAGCUCCUAGAUCAGUCAAUGAGCCAUCUACAGAGCCACCUACUGCAUCGAAGAGGCUUGAUUUUGAUGAUCCACCACAAGUUUAGGAUCAUAUAGUGUUAGUUUUGGUCAUAGAAUGACCAAUACAUGUAGAUAUAUUCUACAUUUUUAUUGUAUAUCGAUUUGGACAUGGCAUA